rnacentral:rRNA from 1 species
CGAAAGCCUGACGGAGCAAUGCCGCGUGGAGGAUGACAGCCCGUGGGUCGUAAACUCCUUUUCUCAGAGAAGAAGUUCUGACGGUAUCUGAGGAAUAAGCAUCGGCUAACUCUGUGCCAGCAGCCGCGGUAAUACAGAGGAUGCAAGCGUUAUCCGGAAUGAUUGGGCGUAAAGCGUCUGUAGGUGGUUUAUUAAGUCUACUGUUAAAUAUCAGGGCUUAACCCUGAGCAGGCAGUGGAAACUAAUAAGCUUGAGUACGGUAGGGGCAGAGGGAAUUCCCGGUGUAGCGGUGAAAUGCGUAGAGAUCGGGAAGAACACCAAUAGCGAAAGCACUCUGCUGGGCCGAAACUGACACUGAGAGACGAAAGCUAGGGGAGCG